UACGUAGGGUGCAAGCGUUGUCCGGAAUUAUUGGGCGUAAAGAGCUCGUAGGCGGUUUGUCGCGUCUAUCGUGAAAACCUGCAGCUUAACUGUGGGCUUGCGGUGGAUACGGGCAGACUUGAGUUCGGUAGGGGAGACUGGAAUUCCUGGUGUAGCGGUGAAAUGCGCAGAUAUCAGGAGGAACACCGGUGGCGAAGGCGGGUCUCUGGGCCGAUACUGACGCUGAGGUGCGAAAGCGUGGGGAGCAAACAGG
rnacentral:rRNA from 1 species